GACGUAGGGCGCGAGCGUUGUCCGGAUUUAUUGGGCGUAAAGAGCUCGUAGGCGGCUUGUCGCGUCGACUGUGAAAACCCGUGGCUCAACCAUGUGGUCUGCAGUCGAUACGGGCAGGCUAGAAUUCGGUAGGGGAGACUGGAAUUCCUGGUGUAGCGGUGAAAUGCGCAGAUAUCAGGAGGAACACCGGUGGCGAAGGCGGAUCUCUGGGCCUUACCUGACGCUGAGGCGCGAAAGCUAGGGGAGCGAACAGG
rnacentral:rRNA from 1 species